CGUAAACACCUGUUCUCGUGCGAUCACCGAAGUUAAGCAACUUCGAGCCUUGUACGUACCUAGAUGGGUGACUGCUUGGAAAGACCAAGUGCU